rnacentral:lncRNA from 1 species
UAUGUCUUUAUUUUAAUGUUUUUCAAAUUCACUCGUAUUUCUAUUAUUCGGUUUUGUCUUAUUUUCAAGAUGAUUGAAAGAUAUUUUAUGAAUUUAUUUUUAAGGUGUCUUCUGAGAAGACGGGAACCAUGAUAUACAAGACAAUUGAGUUACAAAUAUUGAUAGAAGGGAAUAAAGAAGACAUCAGUUUUUAGUCUGUUUUGUAAAAGAUGUAAUUUUGUAGGGCACUCUUUUUCCCUCUUGAGUUUUUUUCCCAAAAGGUUUUACUCUUGAGGGGUUUUAACGAGGCCUUUUUUUGUGGGUUAUCUCUUCUGACUUGUA